UUAAGUUCAGCGGGUAGUCCUACCUGAUUUGAGGUCAAAUGGUUCAAGUUGUCCAAGUCAAUGGACGGUUAGAAGCAGGGCAAACACCUUUUUACAGCAAUCCUAGACCACGGCGUAGAUAAUUAUCACACCAAUAGAUAGGUUUGCGCGGGGCACCCACUAAUUCAUUUGAGAGGAGCAGACCUUUCGGCCUGCAGAAA
rnacentral:misc_RNA from 1 species